AAUCUAUGGAUUCACAGAAAUAGAAUUUGAACAAAGAUAAAAUUUUACAUUCUAUUCAUAUUUAAAAGAACUAAAUGUUGAACUAGAACUUAUGACCUUUUGCUGAUUGCUGAAAAGUAAAUUUACAACAAAAAUUGAUGAAAAUAACAUAAAAAUGAAUGAUUGCACCUCUUCAAGUUCUACAGAAUUAUUAAAUGAAGGAAUCUGCUUCAGAAUUGCUGACUGCAUGUCGCUGCAACAUCUGUGCUACAAAGUUUGACUGUUUAAAAUAUUGAAAAGUUUGGAUUAGGGGACUAUUUGAAGCGUCGGCAGUGCAGUUGGCGCUUGACCGGAUCAUAUUUUACAUAUCCAGGUACGAUCUCCGCUAUAUAGUAAUGAGUUCUUCGAAUUUCAUGAUAACAUCCAUCAGACAUUCUUACUGUAAUUACAAAUUGCAUACAACUGCAUAGAAAUUCAAAGAUAUGUGCGAAGUCAACCAACCCUCACUGGCUCUGCAUUGUUGAAUAAGACCUAGUCGCAUUCUUGAGGGUAGGCUCCGAGCUCCUCAGUGGAGUAUAGUGUGUCCGUAUAGUGAGCUUGAUGAUGACAAUUUGUUUUGCUUCAAUGCAUAUUGUCUUGUUAGCAAUUUUCUAAAUAUUUUACCAACAGAGAGGAGCUAAUCUCUUUCCAGUGUUAUUCUAUUUCUCAAGACAAGAGUGGCACUACUACUCCAGUUCUAUCAGAAAAUAUGAUCUAUCAAAUAAACAAACUGGAA